rnacentral:rRNA from 1 species
UACAGAGGGUGCAAGCGUUAAUCGGAAUUACUGGGCGUAAAGCGUGCGUAGACGGUCAUGUAAGUCGGGGGUGAAAGCCCCGGGCUCAACCUGGGAAUUGCAUUCGAGACUGCAUGGCUAGGGUGCGGAAGAGGGAAGCGGAAUUUCCGGUGUAGCGGUGAAAUGCGUAGAUAUCGGAAGGAACACCAGUGGCGAAAGCGGCUUCCUGGCCCAGCACCGACGUUCAGGCACGAAAGCGUGGGGAGCAAACAGG